rnacentral:tRNA from 11 species
GCCUAGUGGUAAAGACGUUGGGCUCAGAACCCAAUGGUCGUGGGUUCGAGCCC